AGUCCCAGACUUUCCCAGUUGAUGUAUAAGGAAGAGAGGAUGACGGAAGUUCUAGAGAGGUUAUCCAUGUCUCUGUCUAUGUAGUCUACAAGAGUGUAACAUGAGUAAUACCGGCAGGACACAAUUACACAGUUCCAACCACAAGUAUGACUGGCUUAAACUAAAAAAUUGGAUUUGGAUUAAAGACACAAGGCUCAGAACUGACUGAAGAACAGCCAGACACAUUAAUACAAACUUGAACAGGGACAAAACCUAGAUAAGUUUUGCAGGAGGAGAAGAUCUGCUACAGAGGAACAAGAGUUUAACAUCUACUGUCUUGGCCUCCUCUAACUUCAGUCUUCAAAGUUACCCCGUCAUACAGUACAAUUACAUUUGCUGAUGUCUUGGUUUAAUUAGGUUUAAUUGAUUUAAUAAAAAUGUAGCUUUAUUUA